CCUACGGGAGGCAGCAGUGGGGAAUAUUGGACAAUGGGCGGAAGCCUGAUCCAGCCAUGCCGCGUGUGUGAAGAAGGCCUUUUGGUUGUAAAGCACUUUAAGCGAGGAGGAGGCUACUAGUAUUAAUACUACUGGAUAGUGGACGUUACUCGCAGAAUAAGCACCGGCUAACUCUGUGCCAGCAGCCGCGGUAAUACAGAGGGUGCGAGCGUUAAUCGGAUUUACUGGGCGUAAAGCGUGCGUAGGCGGCUGAUUAAGUCGGAUGUGAAAUCCCUGAGCUUAACUUAGGAAUUGCAUUCGAUACUGGUCAGCUAGAGUAUGGGAGAGGAUGGUAGAAUUCCAGGUGUAGCGGUGAAAUGCGUAGAGAUCUGGAGGAAUACCGAUGGCGAAGGCAGCCAUCUGGCCUAAUACUGACGCUGAGGUACGAAAGCAUGGGGAGCAAACAGGAUUAGAUACCCUGGUAGUCCAUGCCGUAAACGAUGUCUACUAGCCGUUGGGGUCUUUGAGACUUUAGUGGCGCAGCUAACGCGAUAAGUAGACCCGCCUGGGGAGUUACGNGCGAGAGAACUAACACGUAAGAGUUAGUUAGACGGNGGAGNGGACGACGGACGACGACGAGACGGAGGGAG
rnacentral:rRNA from 1 species